rnacentral:rRNA from 1 species
AUGAGAAUGCAAGUCGAACGAACGACCUCGGGCUUGCCUGGGGAAGUGAGUGGCGGACGGCUGAGUAACGCGUAGGUGACCUGCCCAGAAGUGGGGAAUAACUGCCCGAAAGGGUGGCUAAUACCGCAUGUGGCCACACGUUCAUUCGUGUGACUAAAGCCGCAAGGCGCUUCUGGAGGGGCCUGCGUUCGAUUAGCUCGUUGGUGAGGUAACGGCUCACCAAGGCGACGAUCGAUAGGUGGUCUGAGAGGACGAUCGCCCAGACUGGGACUGAGACACGGCCCAGACUCCUACGGGAGGCAGCAGUCGGGAAUUUUGCUCAAUGGGCGAAAGCCUGAAGCAGCAACGCCGCGUGAGGGAUGAAGGCCUUCGGGUUGUAAACCUCUUUUCUCAGGGACGAUAAUGACGGUACCUGAGGAAUAAGCCACGGCUAACUACGUGCCAGCAGCCGCGGUAAUACGUAGGUGGCAAGCGUUGUCCGGAUUUACUGGGCGUAAAGAGUGCGCAGGCGGUCGAGUAAGUCGAAUGUGAAAGCCCCCGGCUCAACUGGGGAGAGUCAUUCGAUACUGUUCGACUCGAAGGUAGGAGAGGGAAGCGGAAUUCCCGGUGUAGUGGUGAAAUGCGUAGAUAUCGGGAGGAACACCAGUGGCGAAGGCGGCUUUCUGGCCUAUUCUUGACGCUGAGGCACGAAAGCUAGGGGAGCGAACGGGAUUAGAUACCCCGGUAGUCCUAGCUGUAAACGAUGGACACUAGAUGUUGGUGGUAUCAACCCCGCCAGUGUCGU